rnacentral:rRNA from 1 species
UAGGGAAUCUUCGGCAAUGGACGGAAGUCUGACCGAGCAACGCCGCGUGAGUGAAGAAGGUUUUCGGAUCGUAAAGCUCUGUUGUUAGAGAAGAACGUUGGUAGGAGUGGAAAAUCUACCAAGUGACGGUAACUAACCAGAAAGGGACGGCUAAAUACGUGCCAGCAGCCGCGGUAAUACGUAGGUCCCGAGCGUUGUCCGGAUUUAUUGGGCGUAAAGCGAGCGCAGGCGGUUCUUUAAGUCUGAAGUUAAAGGCAGUGGCUUAACCAUUGUACGCUUUGGAAACUGGAGGACUUGAGUGCAGAAGGGGGGAGUGGAAUUCCAUGUGUAGCGGUGAAAUGCGUAGAUAUAUGGGGAAACACCGGUUGCGGAAGCGGCUCUCUGGUCUGUAACUGACGCUGAGGCUCGAAAGCGUGGGGAGCAAACAGG